rnacentral:lncRNA from 10 species
GGAUUACAGGCGUGAGCCACUGCUCCUGGCUUAUAGCAGCUUUAAUUCUAAUCACCAAAAACAGAAAACCAUCCAAAUGUCCACCAACUUGUAACUAGAGAAAGCAAACUGUGGUAUAGUCAUACAAUGGAAUGGUUUAAAGAAACCAGACUCUUAGUGGUAUGUACUGUAUGCUUCCGUGUAUGUGGCAUUCUGGAAAAGGCAAAACCAGAGGGAUAAAAACACAGGACAGUAUUUGCCUGAGGUUGACUACAAAGAAAGACAAGGGAACUUCACAGGUAAUGGAAAUCCUGAUAGUGGUGGCAGCUACAUGACACUGCGUGUGUUAAAACUUGCACAUUGUGAGUUUUACUGCAUAAAAGUGUUAACUAAAAGAGUGUCUGGGUACGGUGGCUCAGGCCUAUAAUCCCAGCACUUUGGGAGGCCGAGUCAGGAGGAUCACCAG